UUUAAUUGAAGCCAAAGGGGAAGAGGCAACUUAAUGUUAAUAAGAAAAUUGAUUAAAUAAAUCCAAUUAAA
rnacentral:tRNA from 1 species